CAUUGCUAGGCAACCACCGCGGCGCUGCUAGGGCGACGCCGGGCGACUGUUCCACUCUUAAAGGGGCAGGAGCCGGUCCUGGGUCCCGCGAGGAGACCCGGGAGCUGCAGGCAGAGAAAAACAGUUCUUUCCAGACCACGGGGACAGUCAGUGGAUCUGGAGGCUGAGUCAGGAGCAAGCGCGCUCUCGAAGCGGAAAGAGAACACCAGGCCGCAGCUGUAGUAGAUAUGUCAACUCAAGUAUUUGAGAUGUUGGUGUUUGUUGAUGGCAUCUGUGAGCAGGUUCGCUCGCAGCAGGUGCGCAAGGCAUGUUCCUGGCGGUGAGGAAAAGAACAACAAAAAACUGGAUUCCAGUACCCGCUCUGUGACUUUGACCUUGUUUGGCAGGUCUUCGCCAUGUCACCCUGCAUGGCCCUCUUCCCUCUGCCUCCCAAGUGCUGGAGUCACAGAUGUUCACCACCGUGCUUGACAGCCUGGGGAUGCUGAUCUCUGUUACCACCUGGGCCAGGAUGACGUAAUCGCUGUGUGGACCUUUGCUCUCCCUCGCUGGUCUCUUUGCCUCUACCCUGCAGUCGCCUGUACACAUAUAGCCAGCUGGGUCCCAUUAAAACCCACAACCAGACCAUG